rnacentral:tRNA from 1 species
UGGGGUAUAGCCAAGCGGUAAGGCAGCGGUUUUUGGUACCGCCAUCCCCAGGUUCGAAUCCUGGUACCCCAG